rnacentral:snoRNA from 1 species
ACUUCAUGAUGAUUUUCCACUUCUGGUCCGUGUUUUUGAAACACUUGAUAACAAUGGAAGUUCUGAUAUA